CCUACGGGGGGCAGCAGUAGGGAAUAUUGCUCAAUGGGGGAAACCCUGAAGCAGCAACGCCGCGUGGAGGAUGAAGGUUUUCGGAGUGUAAACUCCUUUUGUCAGAGAAGAUAAUGACGGUAUCUAACGAAUAAGCACCGGCUAACUCCGUGCCAGCAGCCGCGGUAAUACGUAGGGUGCAAGCGUUACUCGGAAUCACUGGGCGUAAAGAGCGCGUAGGCGGGAUAGCAAGUCAGAUGUGAAAUCCUAUGGCUAAACCAUGGAACUGCAUUUGAAACGGUUAUUCUAGAGUAGGGGAGAGGUAGGUGGAAUUCUUGGUGUAGGGGUAAAUGCCGUAGAGAUAAAGAGGAAUACUCAUUGCGAAGGCGACCUGCUAGAACGUAUCUGACGC
rnacentral:rRNA from 1 species